rnacentral:rRNA from 1 species
AGGCUGCAACUCGCCUACAUGAAGUCGGAAUUGCUAGUAAUCGCGGAUCAGCAUGCCGCGGUGAAUACGUUCCCGGGCCUUGUACACACCGCCCGUCACACCAUGAGAGCCGGGGGGACCCGAAGUCCGUAGCCUAACCGCAAGGGGGGCGCGGCCGAAGGUAAAACUGGUGAUUGGGGUGAAGUCGUAACAAGGUACC